UUUAUAAUGUCAAGUCUUUAUUGGUCAUGUGCCAUACAGCUGUAAGAUAAUGACUAAAUAGAAAUUACAUCAACUACAUUCAGCUCCUAAAGUUUUCAGUCAUCCAGUACACAGUGGCCCCUACACACUAGAUAGCAAACAAAGUCACAUUCUUAGCAGAAAUAACAGGUUAAUGCACACCCUGCCAGAUUCAGAAAGCUGCUGGUGGCUUAAGGCAUUUUUUUUAUAACUGAGAGCAUUCAUACAUAAACAGUAGCAUGUUUUAGAUGGAUUGUUUUGUAUUGGUGUAAAAGCAGGUUGCCUUUUUAUGGAGGGAUGUUGAUUGCACAUGCAUUAUAAAAGUUUGGCAGUGCAGGUUUGAAAUUCUUCUUCUUCAAACUGCAUUGUGUCACUAUGCUUUCUGCAAUCAUUUUUCGCUCUCCCAAAACCGGCAGAGCAAUCCCAAAAUGUUCAGAUUUACCAGGAUACCAGGCCUAAGGAGCAUCUGUGAGAACGUAAAGACAAAAUUCCAGAUUUGCCUGACAUUCCCUCGCAGCUAAGCAUGCCGAUGUCACAGUGUUCCUCGGAAAAAUUUAUUCCGAUAGAGAAAGAAACCCAUUCACUUGGGUUCCCAUCAUACAGUUCUUAAAGUCAGUUAAGCCCAACUUUAUCAAUCUGUUUAAACUGUCUAUAGAAAGAGUGCAGCAAGUCAGGCAUGACAAAGCCAUGACAUAGAGGCAAGUGGUAUCAAAACCUGGCAGUGUAGCAGAAGUGUUAUGAAGAUAUUUCACUAGCAUUACCUUUUAAUAUACGUUUACCAAAGGGAUUCAUUUUUGACCCAUGGUUAACGGAGGUUCACUGUGACAGUGACUUCUUUGUAUGAGAGUACACUAGAUUCAAGUAUGAUGUUUAGGUGUUUGAGAUGCAUUGUGAAAAGUUGUGCUAGUGACUGCGUUUCCACACUGUAAAUGUGCUUCAGGCAUCCACAAAUAUACAAGUAAAAUGUUGAAAUGUUAAUGCAUUUUCUAACUUCUAAGUAUAUACUUUUACUUUUCUUAACAAAUUCAUAAUAUUUGUAUCAGCCGCCCAA